rnacentral:rRNA from 1 species
AUUGAACGCUGGCGGCAUGCUUUACACAUGCAAGUCGAACGGUAACAGGCCUUCGGGUGCUGACGAGUGGCGAACGGGUGAGUAAUGCAUCGGAACGUACCCAGAGGUGGGGGAUAACGCAGCGAAAGCUGUGCUAAUACCGCAUGUGAUCUGAGGAUGAAAGCGGGGGACCGGGCAGAAAUGUUUGGCCUCGCGCCUUUGGAGCGGCCGAUGUGGGAUUAGCUAGUUGGGGGGGUAAAGGCCUACCAAGGCGACGAUCCGUAGCUGGUCUGAGAGGACGACCAGCCACACUGGGACUGAGACACGGCCCAGACUCCUACGGGAGGCAGCAGUGGGGAAUUUUGGACAAAGGGCGCAAGCCUGAUCCAGCAAUGCCGCGUGCGGGAAGAAGGCCUUCGGGUUGUAAACCGCUUUUGGCAGGAACGAAACGGUGUCCGCUAAUACCGGGCGCUAAUGACGGUACCUGCAGAAUAAGCACCGGCUAACUACGUG